rnacentral:rRNA from 1 species
UACGGAAGGGGCAAGCGUUGUUCGGAAUCAUUGGGCGUAAAGGGCGCGUAGGUGGUUCUGUAUGUCUACCGUGAAAGCGUACGGCUCAACUGUAUUUUGUCGGUAGAAACUGCAGGACUUGAGGCUGGGAGGGGCUGGUGGAAUUCCCUGUGUAGCGGUGAAAUGCGUAGAGAUGGGGGAGAACACUCGUGGCGAAGGCGGCCAGCUAGACCAGUUCUGACACUGAGGCGCGACAGCGCGGGGAGCGAACGGG